AACGAACGCUGGCGGCAUGCCUAACACAUGCAAGUCGAACGAUUGCCUUCGGGUGAUAGUGGCGCACGGGUGCGUAACGCGUGGGAAUCUGCCCUUGGGUUCGGAAUAACAGCUGGAAACGGCUGCUAAUACCGGAUGAUAUCGCGAGAUCAAAGAUUUAUCGCCUGAGGAUGAGCCCGCGUUGGAUUAGGUAGUUGGUGGGGUAAAGGCCUACCAAGCCGACGAUCCAUAGCUGGUCUGAGAGGAUGAUCAGCCACACUGGGACUGAGACACGGCCCAGACUCCUACGGGAGGCAGCAGUGGGGAAUAUUGGACAAUGGGCGCAAGCCUGAUCCAGCAAUGCCGCGUGAGUGAUGAAGGCCCUAGGGUUGUAAAGCUCUUUUACCCGGGAAGAUAAUGACUGUACCGGGAGAAUAAGCCCCGGCUAACUCCGUGCCAGCCGCCGCAGUAA
rnacentral:rRNA from 1 species